CACUUCAUGACUGAGAGCAGAACAGAACACAAUCUUCAUCAUCACACAAGACACAACAACAACAAUGAACAACAUCAUCAUCCUCAUCUGGACUCUCACACUGUUUGCUCAAGAGUGUAGAGGACAGUACACUGUAACUCAGAGUCCAUCAUUAAUAAAAGCAGCUCAAGGACAAGACGUCAGAAUAAACUGUAAUACCAGCAGUAGUGUGUGUGGUAGUAAUUACUUACACUGGUACUUACAGAAACCUGGAGAAGCUCCUAAACUCCUCAUAUAUUAUACAUCAAACCGUUACACUGGAACUCCAUCUAGAUUCAGUGGCAGUGGAUCUGACAGUGAUUUCACUCUGACCAUCAGAGGAGUCCAGACUGAAGAUACAGGAGAUUAUUACUGUCAGAGUGUACACUGUUCUAGUGGCUGGGUGUUCACACAGUGAUAAAGAGUCAUACAAAAACCUCCGUCAGUCAGAGUCACAGUGACUGCACUGAUACAGCUGAGAGACACUGCAGCUGCUGAUGAGAGGAUCACAAACAACACAAUGACUUCAAGUAACACACUGUACACUGCUGACCUCUUCCUAACCCUUGAUCCUAACUCUAUCUGUAUCACACCUCAAUAACUGAAAAAGUGUUGUGCAUUAGCACAAGCUUUUAAUCAUUGUGAAACAUCUGUUCAAAUCGAUUUUAGAUUUUCACUAUCUGCAUGAUCAUAUGAAUUAAAAGUUUAGUGUAACACCUGGCUGUCACUAUUAAAUCAUAAGUUUGAAAAGAACUAAACAAUUGUUGUCAAUAUGAAUAUGGGCCUUAGAAGACUAGGAAGUUUAAGGUUCCUAGGGCAGAGGCAAACA